UAUAACGGUCCAGGGCCAUGAACCGCUAGGCGACGGACCAGAGAGAGAGAGAGAGAGAGAGGGGGUGGCCAGGGAGCAAGAGCAGUUCCUUCACACGCAUUCGAAUGAGUGCACACUUCUGGGACUAAAGCUGAACUAAGACUGAAACUGUGGAUGAAUGUUAUUGCCCCAGCGUUGCCAGAACAUUUAAAUUGAGCCGUGUUCUGUGCUGUGAACGGGAAAAAGACAAGUCUUAUUCUAUCUUCAUUACGCAUUUCCCGCAUUCGCACCAACCCACAAUACUAAUAGAAUUCUGCUUCGCCGCGCAACACAAUUCUUGCAGGUGAAUUCCGAUUGGAAUAAGUAGUUGCCAGGGACGGGGCGCUGCAGUGUGUUCCUUUCCGAUCUGCAUUCAUAUCCAGUUCACGCUGGUGAGGCGAAAAGCUGAACUGUUUUCACUGACAGGACCCUUUGGCCGUUGAAGACCGGCAGAUAACGAGCUCCGAAAUCCCGCUGGCUUCCCGCUUGCUGAGCGUGGUCCGAUUCGCAGAGUCACACACACACACACACACUUGUGAAAAGCUUCACUUCAGUGUCGGAUCCCCAUGUAAAUGACUGGAUCAGCUCGUCAAAUCCCAGUUUACACAGCGCAAGGGCAGUGCACUGGGCUUGCCCAUUCUAAAAUGGCCGUUAAAACCCAGUCAUCCUCUGUCCCAUUGGGAAGGCUUUUCUUAAAGCAAAGACCAAAAAAAAUGCUGUAUAAUAAUAUAUGUUUCUGUGCGUAUUAUACAUUGUCUUACCAUGUCAUCGGGACCCGUCAAAAUGCUUCGCGCGACCGAUGAGUUACUUUUGAACUGUUAUGUAAACAACUGUGGCAGCAAGGUGCACGAAGAGCCAAUGAGAUGAAUGAGCACAGUUUUGUUUUGGUGGGACUGCACUUUCGGAUUUAUUUUUUUUUUGCAAUUGCAUUUGAAGCUAUGCAGGACGGUUUCAGUCCGCUGCGUGGUAAUGAGUGAAGAAAACUCUCAACUUUUGCACUUCUGCCUCGUUCCAGGCGCCCAUAGGACACGCCUGCAAUGUAAAUAAAUUUGCAAUACACAA